rnacentral:rRNA from 1 species
AGAUUGAACGCUGGCGGCAGGCCUAACACAUGCAAGUCGAGCGGCAGCACGGGUACUUGUACCUGGUGGCGAGCGGCGGACGGGUGAGUAAUGCCUAGGAAUCUGCCUGAUAGUGGGGGGACAACGUUCGGAAACGGACGCUAAUACCGCAUACGUCCUACGGGAGAAAGUGGGGGAUCUUCGGACCUCACGCUAUCAGAUGAGCCUAGGUCGGAUUAGCUAGUUGGUAGGGUAAAGCCUACCAAGGCUACGAUCCGUAACUGGUCUGAGAGGAUGAUCAGUCACACUGGAACUGAGACACGGUCCAGACUCCUACGGGAGCAGCAGUGGGAAUAGUUGGACAAUGGGCAAAGUCUAGAUCCAGCCAUGCCGCGUGUGUGAAGAAGGUCGUCGGAUUAGUAAGCUAACGUUUAAGGUUGGGAAGGUAA